rnacentral:rRNA from 1 species
CGUGGAGCGAUUUGUCUGGUUUAUUCCGAUAACGAGCGAGACUCUAGCCUACUAAAUAGUUGACACAUUCCAUUGUGUGCCCUAACUUCUUAGAGGGAUGUGACGGCGACUAGCCGCAAGAGAAUGAGCAAUAACAGGUCUGUGAUGCCCUUAGAUGUCCGGGGCUGCACGCGCGCUACACUGGUGAAAUCAACGUGUUCCAUCCUAUGCCGAGAGGCACUGGUAAACCAUUGAAAAUUCGCCGUGAUUGGGAUCGGAGAUUGCAAUUAUUCUCCGUGAACGAGGAAUUCCAAGUAAGUGCGAGUCAUUAACUCGCGUUGAAUACGUCCCUGCCCUUUGUAC